UCCAACUGGAAGAUAUUCAAAGGGAAGCCUGAAUUAACAGAUAGAAUAUUCUCUGUAUCACAGAAGGGCUUUUUAUUAAUUUCUGAACAAUGGCAUGAUUUGGGUUAGCGAAAGUGCCACAGUUUGUUAUGAUUUUUUUAAAAGUAAUAUUUAAAGACCCAUUAAAAUGAGAAGAUUGACAAAGGGUUUUCUGCAAAAUAUCCACAUUAAGAAAAAAAAAGGGAAUUGUUUUAAUCUAUUAAAUGUAACUACAGUGCAGGAAAACAGUAAUAGGGUGUUUCAAGUCACAGCACAGAGUUGAAAAAGAACUGUUUGGAUGAGUACAGAUCAGUGAGAGAACUGGUGCUAUUUAAGAAAGGUUCAAUGGCUGCAAAUUAUUAGCUGAUCUCUGAGGCACACAAUCAGGUUUUAAAUCUCAAGCCGCAUAGUUGCUAAUGGUACUAAAUUGCUAAAUUACUUAACCUCUUUGAGAAUCCUCUGAUAGGCUAGAAGUCAUAUGAAGUAGCAUAUAAAGGGAUUUUUAGAAUGAAAGUAUAAUGCGCUAACAGAGUAUUUUAUUAGAUCUACAGGCCAAGGUAGCCAACCUAAAGCCUCGCCCUGCCCUUUACUUGGUUGCUGCUUUUGAAUUUAGCUACCUUGGCCCACUUGGUGCGUCUGUGAACUUGGCCCUACCUCUUGCCUCAGGGGCUUCAACCUUGUGGUCCUAGCUGCCUAGAGUUUCAUCAGAUGCCUUAAGGAGGCCCUCCUUCACAAAGAAUCCUCUGUGCUUCCCAGAAGUAACCAGCAAGCAAACCCUCCAGCAUGCUUGCUUAUCGAAAGGCCUGCUUUUCUUUAGCCAAAAGGACCUGGCUGUUCAGGAAGCCAUGGAACCUAACUUGGAGGAAAAAAAAAAAAAACUUUCCCAACCGAUCAACAGAGGGUGAGCUUAUAAGGCCUUUGUCUCCACACAUAAAAGGAAGAGCACUGAACCCAGGGCUGUAUGAAUGAUAAAAGUCCCCUAUCGCUGAGCAGCAUCCCAAACCUGAGGUAAGAUUCUGUCACAUUCACCAAAGCACCCAGCAGCAGAAAAGUUGUGCCUCCUCUUUCUCCUUCUGGUUUCUGUCCCCUUGUCACUUUUACGGUGAGGCCUACUGUGCUGCUAUCUUUAUGUCAACUUGACACAAGCCAGAGUCAUUUGGGAAGAGGGAACCAGAACUGAGAAAGUAUCCCCACCAGACUGGCCUAUGGCCUGUGGGGCAUUUUUUCUUGAUAGGAUGAUUCAUGUUGAAUUACCCAGCUUAAUGUGGGCAGUGCCACCCCUGGGCUCAUGGCACUGAGCAAGACAUGAGGAGCAAAUCAGAAAGCAGCACCCUCCAUGGCCUCUGUAUCAAUCUCUACCUUCAGAUUUCUGCCUUGCAUUCCCGCACUGACCUCUUUAGAUGAAAGUGUAAGCAACAUAAACUCUUUCCUUUCCAAGUUGAUUUUUGGUCGUGAUGUUUCAUCUCAGCAGUAUAAAUCCCUAGAACAAAAGGUGCCUGCCUUUUCCUCCAUAGCAAAGCCCUCUCCUCUCCCGUGUUUUCAUAAGUUUUAUUUAGUGAUCUCCCUGCCUUCUUAAGAAUGUAACCUCAUAGCUGGGCAUGGUGGCACACGCCUUUAAUCCCAUCACUCGGGAGGAAGAGGCAGGUGGAUUUCUGAGUUCGAGGCCAGCCUGGUCUACAAAGUGAGUUCUAGGACAGCCAGGGCUAUACAGAGAAACUCUGUCUCAAAAAACAAGUAACCCCAUGAAGGCAAAGACUGAGAAUCACUUCCUAUGUCCCCCCAAACCUAUAAUAAAUAGGCUGGCACAUGGUUGUGUUUAAUAAAUGGUUGAAUGGAUAAAUGAUAUUAGCACUGCUGCUCUAUAAUAACAAACUUUCUAAAACAAACAAUCCUUCUGGGUGCAUGAGCAACAUGUAUAACUGCAUUUUAAUUUAUGGCUGUUAAUUAUACAAAAUAAUGAGCUUCAGGGUAUGUUCAUAUAUGCAGAGAUAAUAUUACAUUUAAAUCAAAUUCAACUCCCAUUAUCUACUUUUGUACCUCCCCUGACACUGGUCUCCUUCCUCCUCCUAAAUUGUUCUUGUCAUGAUUAAUCUUUGUUGUUGAUUUGGCUAUUUAGAAUCAGCUAGGCGAUGUACCACCAGGCAUGUUUAUGAAGGUGUUUGUAGAAAAAAAAGCUCACCUUGGAUGCAGGCAGCACCAUGCCCUGGACUGAGGUCCUGGACUUUAACACAUCAGGGAAAGGAGAAAGCUACCUGACUCAGAACACUGUAUGACCAAUUGUCUCACUCUGUCACCAUGCCUUCCAGGACAUGACAGCCAGCAUCCCCUCAAACCAUGAACCUAAAUGCAUCCUUCGUCUCUCAAAUUUCUUGUCAAGGAUUUUGUUAGAAAUAGAAAUGAGAAACGGAAAUAAAUCUUGCCUUCCAUAUAAUUUUAUGUAGUUUUUAGAAAUCCAGAUUCUAUGGGAGUGAGAACAUGUAAGGUUUACCUUUCUGCAUCUAGCUUAUUUAGUUUAACAUCAUGAUCUCCAGUUUAAUAAACUUUAUUAAAAAUCAUUCCAUUCUAUUAAGGCUAGACAAUACUCUACUAAGUACAUAUACCUCAUUUUCUUUAUCUGCUCAUUCGUUAAUGGGCACCUAGGCCAAUUGGAUGUCUUAGUUGUUCUGAGUAGUACUGUGGUAACUCAAGUACUGUGGUAAUUCCAGUUUCUGUAAGCCACAUUAGAUUCCUUCAGGCAUCAUAUAUUCAGGAGUGUUAGUUAGUUGCAUUAUUCUCUUAAAUCUUGCAGAUUAUUUAUUUUCUACCAGGAAGCAUGCGUCAUGAAAUUAUGAAAGACUAAGGCAUACUUAGUCUUAGAGCUGGAAUGUAUCAAUCAGGUUGGCACACUCACCUCACCUGUCCAACUAAAGAACAUUUAGUGGUCCACAAGGGGUUUCAUGGUUUAUAGAAGUUAAAGUGUAUUUAGCUGUUUUGAGAUAAAGAGCAUUUUAUCUUUUCUAGAUGCUAAAAACAAACAUGGGAAGGAACUUCCUGCAUUUUGUAUUCACAGCUAUAGUGUGAUUUUACCAAUUGAAGAUCUGUGGCAAUCCUGCAUCAAGCAACAUUAUUAAGGAAAUCAUUUCUUCCUCCCCCAGUAGCUCCAAUAAUAACAAUUUCAAGUUGUAGACAGUCUUUUUUUAGACACAAUACAACUUAUAAGACUAGAGUGCAUCAUAAAAAGACUUGCAUUCAUUGCAAAAUCAAAAGACUUCUGUUACUUCAGUAUUGUCUAUAGUUUAGUGGUUUAGACACAAACUUUCAUCGUAUUCUCAAUAAAGCCAAAACAUGCUCAAGUAAAAUUUUAGCCAUCUACAGCAGAGAAAGGCUUCUAAUGACUGACAACUGUAGGCAGCCCUACUGUGGCCCUGAUGGGAGAAUCUAUGACUCCAAUACUCUUACAGUGUCAUGACACCAAAAGCAGAAGAUGGCUUGCUGCUCAACCAGAGGUCACAGGUAUUGUAUAAGUUUGUUGUUUUACAUAUGUGUGUAUGUUUACAUGGGUGUGUGCAUGUAUUGUGAGGGGUGCAGAGGUUGGUGUAGGAGUCAUUUUCAAUGGUUCUCUAUCUUAGUUUUUGAGACAAUUACUCAAACCCAGAUUUAAUAAUCAGUGAUUUGGCCAGACUGACUAGCCAAUGAGGUUCAGGUAUUCACCUCUUCCCUACUGCUGGGAUUAAAGAUAUAUUGCUGACAUCACAUGGGUGCUGUGAAGUGAACUCAGUCCCUCAUACUCGCCCAGCAAGAACUUUAUUGAAUGCCAAGUCGCCAGCUCAAAGCAUCACUGACUGAUACUGAAGUGCUUUGUGCAUUGAAAAGCAGUUUCUGAACAGUUUUGAGGAAUGAGUCUCAAAUGGCAGAUCAAUUAUACAGUUAAUUAUUAAGAGUAAUAACAUACCUUAAGAUGGAUGGUACAGACCUGAAUUCCAACUACUCUAGAGGCUGAGGCAGAAGGAGCUUAAGUUAAUGAUCUGACAGAUCAACUUAGCCAGACCCAGUCUCAAAAACACCAGGGAAGAAAAGAGGACUAGGGAUAUAUCAGUGGUAGAGAAUUGGGUGAAGACCCAAGUUUACAUUCCUAAGUGUCACAGAAGAAAACAGAAAGAACAACAGCAUGCUCUCAGGUGCCCUGCAAACUGUGGGAGAUGGCACUGUAAGUAGAGUAGGUACAAUCUCAGGCAUAAUUUAUAGUCUAUUGAUGUGUACAUUUAUUCACUCAGAAAAUUCGAGUCAUUACUGGCUAGGGCAUAUUUACAUCAUGUGAAAUGCACAAAAUAAUAGGUUGCCACCAGAAGGCACAAAGAAAUAUUAAGGGAAAAUACAAAAGCGGCCUGGGGGGCACUGAGUUAUAGUCUCAACACUUGGCAGGGAGAGGCAGGAGGAUUGGGAAUUUAAGGUGAGCCUCAGCUAUACCCACAGAAGAAUCUGAAGUCAGCCUGGACUACAAGAGAGUAUGUUUCAAAAUUAAGCAAAAAACAAAACAAAAAAAACAAAAAAACAAAAAACACCAACCAACCAACCAAAACAAACAAACAAACAAAAAAACAGAAAACAACAACAAAACCAGACAGAAAAUAAUUAAGUACAUAAAUAAAUAGAAAAACCAGGCAACAUAUGGACUGGUGGUGUGGUUCAGUAGUAGAAUACUUGCUUAUUAAACAGGACCAAAAGCCAGGGUUCCAGUCCCAGCACCAAUCUGACUACAAUCAAUACCCUCCACACUAAUAUCAAUGAAAAAUUCUUAUGAACAUGUCAGAAAAAAAAUGAGCUAGGUCAGUUUCCAUUCUUAAAAUAUGAGUUUUCUAAUCUAUCUCUGAAGGUCAAAGGGAAAUGUUGAAGUAUUUUAAAAGUGAGACAUGGUGGAAAGGACAGGGAGGGCUAGAGGGAAGGGAGCGGUGGGUGGAAUCAAAGCACAUUGCAUACAUCUAGAAAAAUUCUGAGAGGGAAAAAGAAGUUACCCCUACUUCCAGCAAACAGCAAACUAAAGGGUAACUUAAGUGAUUUCCCUGACUAGGGUGAGAUCCAUGAAGCCCACUAAGGACUUGGCUUGUUCGGCUGAAGCUGGCUCUUCUCUAUAGACUGCACACCCUGACUAUGGUGUUUCUUCACUGUGGGUCAACACACCUUCUUUCUCAUAUGGCUUUCAUCUUCUACUUCAGAAUCAAAUCUGAGAACCCUCUAAGCGAACAGACAUGCAACUCAUCUCUGAUCUUUAUACCCAAAACUCCACUGGUAUAAAAGUACCCACAAAUCUUUUGUAAUUGCUCGUCCAUCAGUAGCACCUCUAAGCAGCAGCCAGACAGCAACACAGCAGGCCUCCAGCCCACCAGGUCCACUCUUCCCUGUGUUUUCAGCUUCCUUUACUACACACUACAACAGAUAUUUCAAAUCUUAGCUUCUGUUGAUGAGAUGUUACGGAGGGCUACUCAAAGGACUCUUGACAGAUCUUCAAGAAUUUCUUUCUCAAGAAAAUUCACUCCCAGAGAGAAUGGUUUCCAUCUGCUCAACACUAGACUUCAGUAAUUAACUUGGUUCUUUCCAGUCACCUCUUGGCCUUGCUCCAUUACUUAUCAUUUCUCCCCACAAAUAUCAAACAUCUGCUCUGUAAAUCUUCCCAUCAGUACAGACCACGAGCCUUGCAUGUGUUUCAGAGAGGAGAGGAUAGAGUGCCAAGUUUGAUCCCAAGUGUCUUACUUGUGUGGCCUUGAUUAGUUAUCACUAGAAAAAUUGGUUCUGUAUGUUUCCCUUCUUUGCACGAUAGGGCAAUAGUAUGCAUAUUUUAAAUAGGAAUCACAGGAGGCCAGAGUCUUAGGCUCCUGUACUAAAAUGGAGACACACUACAAUUCCUUAUCUCCAAACAGAAAGCAGCUCUACUGAGCUUACCUCCCAAAAUAAAAGAAACACAGACCAACGGCUCAGUAGCACAUGCCUAGCAUGCAACAGACUCUCGGUUCAAUUGCCAUUGCCCAUUAGAAAGGGAGAAAGGGAGGGAAGGAGGGAGGGAGGGAGGGAGGGAGGGAGGGAGGGAGGGAGGGAGGGAGGGGGCCAACUUAGAGUGUUAUUGGCUCCCUGUCCUCACCUUCCAAGGAAAUUUAACCUUGAAAUGCCCCAAAUUUGCUUUUGCUCUCUUUCUCCUGCAGUCUUUAGAUUUUCUCUGUCUAUAAAACAGACUUCAUCUAUUUUAGCCAUCCAUUGUUCAUUCUAUUUCUAUAAAGUAAACUAGAAUUGAAAAUAAAAUUAAGAACAUUAAAAUAUAACACUGUGAAGUUAUUCACUCAUACAAGUAAGCCCCAAGUACAGUGCUUGUGGUUUAAUUUUUUUUUCAAUUCAUAAUAUAAUAGCUAGUUGUGUUGUUUAGGAGUAUGUGUCUGCAUAUUUUUCUUUUUACUUAAACUACAAGUUAUAGAACUGACUACAAUAAACAUACAGAUAUAUUUAAAGAAGUAGAUUGGACAGGGUGGUACAUUUUGUCAGUGACAAAAUACAUCACAGAGAGUUUGACUGCCAAUAAUGAAGAAGUAACGCUCAUUCAGCUAGCUCUUCUACAAAAAAUUAAUAAUAAAUCUUUGCAAAAAUUAUGAUGAUCUGAGGGUUUCUGAGAGGAACAAAGACUGUAGGCAGGAAAACAACAAAAAUCCACCAGGAAAAGGCCACUAGCACUCUGGGAGCUUGGUCUUUGUACAGGUCCUCUGUGGGGCUACUCUCCAUCUCGAGAGCACUGGACACUGAACUGGGCAAGUUCUGGAGCUUACCUCUCAUACCUGAGAACUCGGGUUCAAUUCCCAUCAUGAAAAUUAAAACAAACAAACAAACAAACAAAAUUAUGUUUUUUUCAAUCUUAAACCUUAAGAAAUAUCAAAUUAAUCCAACAAAGAAAAACGUUGGGUUAUGAAGGGCUUUAGCUUUUUCUAGCAUCACAGAAGAGCUCAAAACACAGAUAGUGUAUGAGUCUCAGAAGUGCGAGAUCUCUAGGUGUCUGGAAUGGGGAGAUAGGACACAACCAAGAGUUGACUAAGUAAUAUGCCAUCUGGAAGCAAAGGCUGUCAGUGCCCACAACAGUAGGCAGAGCUCUUUGGAUGCUCAGUGAUCUCACUUUGCUUAUGCCUAAUGUGAAGAAAUAGCAUCACGACUUCUUAAUAUGCUGUGAAGGCUGUGCUCAGCUGUUAACUCAACUAGAUCUGGAAUUAAGUAAUACCCAAGCAGCUGGGUACACCUGUGAGGGACUUUUUUUUUUUUUCUUAAUUAAAUCCUUUGAAGUGGGAAGACCCAGUUUUUGUUGUUGUUGUUGAUGCUGGGGUGUUUUUGUUUUUUGUUGUUUGGUUGGGUUGAAUUUUUGUUGUUGUGGGUUUUUUUGUUUGUUUGUUUUUUACUGUUUCAAAAAGCUUUAUUUUUACUUGAUCCAAUACUUGGGAGAGACUCCAGGGCAGUUACAAAGCUGCCUAGAGGCUUCAGAGGUUAAUUCAGGUGGAGGUCCUGAGGCAGGCUGGUGCAUAGCAGUGGAGGGAACCCAUUGGAAGACACAGGUGCAGCCUGGUCAUGCUUGAGAGUAUGCCACUGAAAGAGAUACUUGCAUAUAUAUUUGUGUGUGUGUAUGUGUACAUGCAUACACACAUAUAGUCAGGGUUCUCUAGAGCAACAGAACUUAUAAAAUUAUAUACUAUAUAUACCAUAUGUAUUAUUUAUUAUAUGAUAUAGAAAGAAUACAUUUAUUAAAAAGUUCUAUAUAAGAAUUAAAUCUGAGAAACCUUUAAAUGAAAAGGCACACAACUAAUCUCUGAUAUUUAUACCCCAAACUCCACUACUAUAAAGUACUUUCCAAUAUUUUGUAAUUGUUCUUCCAUCAUUAUUGCCUCUAGGCAGUGACAGCAGAACAGCAACGCAACAGGCCCUUGAGCCCACUGUAUGUAUGUAUGUAUGUAUUAGGCUUCUUUGAAAUAUGUACUCAAGUGUAAGCAGGAGGAGCAUGCUACUUGGGGAGAGAGAAGCACCUGGUUUGAAUGAAGAGAUGUGCCAGCUCCGGUUCUGCAACCAUGAAACCCCAGAGAUUGCAGAGUCUCACAUAUUAUUCAGGACCAUCUCAUCUUUGCAUCCUCCUGCCUCAGCUUCCCAAGUACUAGGAUAACAGGCAUAACCCACCAUGUCUGCUUACAAAGAAGUAUUUUAAGUAGAUAAAAGACGUUGGCGAUGCUGCACAUGACCGGAGGGUCCUGACUGAACUGUAGAAUGAAGGCGCUGUCUGCUGAAGUGCUUUUUACUGCACUAGAUAAAUGAAGCCCACUCCCACCAAAACUAUAUUUUAAAGAAAGUAGUAACCAUUCCAUGAAAAGAUUCCUUUGUCAUACUUUUAUGAUUUCAUUAUUCCUAGAUACAUGAUACACUUAUAAGGACUUACUCUAAUCAUUUCUAAAAGUGUGAUAUUCAAUAAUCACCUACCAUGUGAGCCAGUUCUGCUGUUCCUUGCUAUUAUGGGAAAAACAGAUGACGUCUCAGUACCUUUUUUUGUCUGCUCUCAGCGGCCACCAGCUGUGCGGACAUCCUUUCUUGCAUUUUUCUGCAGUGGGCCAUGACAGCUUCAAGGAUGGAGAGUGGAUUGGUGCAGACUGGCUUCUCUUUGUCACCAGGACCUGCUUCAUAGUCUCUCUGAAGUGCCAGGAAGGGGUCAUUUAGAUUAAACCUCCCAUACCGUUCCUGGAUGAACACCUCCUUCCUGCGAGCCUACAACAAAAUUGGAGAAAGGAGGUGAAAUAAAGGAAAAUAACAGGAA